GCUAAUGAAAACAGAGUGAUGAGCAGAGCAGUGGCUAGAUCUUCAGUUCAAUUCUUCUGUUGUUUGUAUUAAUAGAUGACAUCUUCUGAAAAUUUCUUAAUAAUUAUCUUUGGCAUUUAAGAAACAAAAUACAAUUGUCUUUUCCUAUAUUUUUAAGUCUAUUUAAAUUUUUGACUUACAAGCUAACUUAUCUUUAUUUCUCUAAUCCUAGGCAUCCACUAAAAACAGUCUCUAUUAGUGUAUAUUUUGCAAGUAAUCAAAAUCACAGUAACUGAGGAAAAUUAGGACAAGCCUAAUAGUAGCCAAGCUCUAAAUAGGCUUUAAAAUAAAAAUAGGAUAUGUGACUCAGAAUACAGUACUAGUUCUUCAUCUUACAGAUGUUCUCAGCCAUCGGAGUCAGCGUGGGCUAUGACACUGGGCAUUCAUUGGAAUCAGCUUCGAUGGAGGAAUAACUGAGCCACUGUGUAUACAGACAGAUCAUAAAGCGGUGAACUGGGCUAUUGAAAUACUGAAGCUUUCCCAAAAAACUUUUGCCAUAUUUAUUUAUAUAAUGCAAAGUAAAAUAGUAAUAUCUUUCUUUCAAAAAAUACAUGUCAAUGUGCUUUAAUUUAUUCUCAUAAUUCUCCAUAUGAAAUUUGCAGAUAUGUGAAGAUUAACUCAGCAUAUAUUUCAAAAGGUAAAAUCUUCAGUAGUUUUAAUCUAGGCUUAUGUUACAUAUAGAAAAUAGUAGGAAGAGGUAUAGUUGCUUAUGAGGAUGAAAAAUAUGGCAGCUUUUAGUAUAAUCUCUUCUUACAUUCUAAAUCACUACAUGUAUUCACCAACAGCUAAAUGAAAUCACUUUACACAUUCACCAAUUUUUAUUCAGCAACUAUUAAAUUCAAGACAUCUUGUCUGUUCUGAAUAUAACUGCAAAGGUACAUAAAUAUAACCUUAUUCUUCAGAAACAAAAUUUCACCAAAGAGAAAAAGUGUAAGCUUAUUUGCAGCAAAGAUAUAUUUGCUACUUGCUGUCCCACAUGAGGCACCUAUUACAUAUUUACUGAAUGAGUGUAUAAACCAUAAAAUCAAGUAAUUUCAAUACAACAUAGGAUAUAAGCCACAAAUGUGAUUAAUUCCUAUGGGAUUUAGAGCAAGGGGCAUCACUGUUAGCUGAAUGAUCAGUGAAGAACUCAUGGAGUUGAAUGAGCUGAUAAAGAUUUUAGUUAGGCAAUAGUUCAAAAUAGGGCAUUGUUUGGUAGGCAGAAAUAAAAGAGGAAGUCUCAGGCAGAGAGAACAAAAA